UCUCUAUUUCAGAAAUAGGGUACCUUUGUAUAUGAUUUAUUCUCUAUUUUAGAAAUACUCUCUCUCUCUCACGUCGCUUUUUUCGGAGGUGAAAACAACUUCUGGGAUGAUGCUACCUUGAAACCUGCCAUUUUGUAUUCCAGGAAAGGAAAAUACUCUUCAUCUUUCUUGUUUGAUGUGACUGAAUUACAGUACCAUUUCAGUCUUGGAUCAGAGUGAAGUCCUGUCAUCCCUGCCACCAUUGUUGACGGAGAACAGUGCCCAACCAGUUAUGGAUCAAAGUGAAGUCUCUGUCAUCUAUCAUCGCAGAGAACAAAGGCCAACCAUGUGAAAGUUCACACAUCAAGA